rnacentral:tRNA from 1 species
GGCGGGAUGGUGUAAUAGAACAUACUGGUCACAACCGGAGUUGCAGGUUCAAGUCCUGCUCCCACUU